rnacentral:rRNA from 1 species
UACGUAGGGUGCGAGCGUUAAUCGGAAUUACUGGGCGUAAAGCGUGCGCAGGCGGCUGGUCAAGUCCGAUGUGAAAUCUCCCGGCUCAACUGGGAAACUGCAUCGGAAACUGAUCGGCUUGAAGGUGGGAGAGGGUAGUGGAAUUCCCGGUGUAGUGGUGAAAUGCGUAGGGAUCGGGAGGAAGGCCGGUGGCGAAGGCGGCGCUCUGGAACAUUUCUGACGCUGAGGCUCGAAAGCGUGGGGGAGCAAACAGG